CGAGCGGCGGACGGGUGAGUAAUGCCUAGGAAUCUGCCUGGUAGUGGGGGAUAACGCUCGGAAACGGACGCUAAUACCGCAUACGUCCUACGGGAGAAAGCAGGGGACCUUCGGGCCUUGCGCUAUCAGAUGAGCCUAGGUCGGAUUAGCUAGUUGGUGAGGUAAUGGCUCACCAAGGCGACGAUCCGUAACUGGUCUGAGAGGAUGAUCAGUCACACUGGAACUGAGACACGGUCCAGACUC
rnacentral:rRNA from 1 species